GAUGAACGCUGGCGGCGUGCCUAAUACAUGCAAGUCGAGCGAACAGACGAGGAGCUUGCUCCUCUGACGUUAGCGGCGGACGGGUGAGUAACACGUGGAUAACCUACCUAUAAGACUGGGAUAACUUCGGGAAACCGGAGCUAAUACCGGAUAAUAUAUUGAACCGCAUGGUUCAAUAGUGAAAGACGGUUUUGCUGUCACUUAUAGAUGGAUCCGCGCCGCAUUAGCUAGUUGGUAAGGUAACGGCUUACCAAGGCGACGAUGCGUAGCCGACCUGAGAGGGUGAUCGGCCACACUGGAACUGAGACACGGUCCAGACUCCUACGGGAGGUAGCAGUAGGGAAUCUUCCGCAAUGGGCGAAAGCUUGACGGAGCAACGCCGCGUGAGUGAUGAAGGUCUUCGGAUCGUAAAACUCUGUUAUUAGGGAAGAACAAAUGUGUAAGUAACUAUGCACGUCUUGACGGUACCUAAUCAGAAAGCCACGGCUAACUACGUG
rnacentral:rRNA from 1 species